rnacentral:rRNA from 1 species
ACGGAAGGCAGCAGUGGGGGAUAUUGCACAAUGGGGGAAACCCUGAUGCAGCGACGCCGCGUGAGUGAUGAAGUAUUUCGGUAUGUAAAGCUCUAUCAGCAGGAAAGAUAAUGACGGUACCUGACUAAGAAGCACCGGCUAAAUACGUGCCAGCAGCCGCGGUAAUACGUAUGGUGCAAGCGUUAUCCGGAUUUACUGGGUGUAAAGGGAGCGCAGACGGCAUGGCAAGCCAGAUGUGAAAGGCAGGGGCCCAACUCCUGGACUGCAUUUGGAACUGUCAAGCUAGAGUAUCGGAGAGGUAAGUGGAAUUCCUAGUGUAGCGGUGAAAUGCGUAGAUAUUAGGAGGAACACCAGUGGCGAAGGCGGCUUACUGGACGAUAACUGACGUUGAGGCUCGAAAGCGUGGGGAGCAAACAGGAUUAGAUACCCUGGUA